CUAAAGUUUGUUAAAGCUUCUUGUCCGUGUGAAGCCGCUUUGGUAUACCUCGGUGACCUGGUGAUAUUCCUGGUGGGAUUUUUUGAAUGUUCUGGGGGACGCCCAGGGCCUGUAGGGCGCAUCAAGGUCUUUCAGAGGAGGAGAGGUGUUCCUUCAGCUUGCUGGUCUGUCUGCAAUACCGGAGUCCUCGGGACUAGUAGAUGCUCAGGGAGGGAAGUGCUGUGUUUCGAAGCAAACUUGAAACACAGGUCUGUUUUCUGUGCCUCUUAAUUCUCACAAGGUCACUGGGCUAGAGAUACCUUGGAAAUGGGGGAACGCACAGAGUCGUCAGUCUUUGUUUGCAAGGAAGGGUUUCUGUUUUCUUGUUCGGAGAAAUGUUAGAAAUAAGGAGACGUCUGUGAGUUCUUAACAGUUGUGUUCAGGGAGUUUGACUGAUGAAGUUCUUAGGUGUGUGGUGUCCUGUCUUAAUACUUCACAAAUAACGUUUUUUAUCUCAAAUGUGGGAAGGGAACACGGCGCCUUGGUUUCGGCGAUCAGAGCAACGAACAGAUCAGACGGUGCCCCGACUCCUGUCUGGACAAGGCAGAGGUUUUGCACGUCGAACAAACGAAAUCGUGAUGCCUGAACAGCUGAAAGGUGUCAGUGGACUCUGUUCCUGACGAAUACAGACGCUACAGCACAGCCCAUGUUGGGGUGAGCACCUUUUGCCGGGUGUCCGCCAGGUACAACCGAGAAGCGCUUUGUUAGCCCCUGCACUCCCACUGCGGGUCACAAGAUGGGGUCUGAAUACCCAGAGAGACAGCUGUGCCAGCAGCACGUGCAGCAGCGAAACACCACCUUGCCACUGUAUUUUGCUUGGGUACCGUAAUAAAUCUCGCUAGCUAGCACGCAGAGAGGGCUUCCGAGAAGUAGCAGUUAUUAAAUGUUAUUUUUCAGGAGUCCUGUUCAGGAAGGUGGAAAGAGGUAAAUUCAGGUACCGAUUUUUAGUAAGUUACAGGUGGUGCUGCCGGCAGUGAGGAGGGUUGCUGGAGGGCUGGAUUUGCGGGAGGAGCAGAGUGCUGUCAUGAGGCAGACCAUCCCAUCCGUCAGAUAAAUAAAUGAGGAGGUGUGGAAGAUGAAAAACCUGUUGACUGCCGAGGAAUUGGCAGCCUGAGAUUGCAGUACAAAACAAGAACAAGGAAAACAAAGGGGAACUACGAGUUAACUGCACAGAUUAGCACCUCUGAAAGGGAACCCAGUGAUCGAAUCCUGGGAACAAAAAACACCUCACUUAAAACAUAAGGACUUGGCUCAGACUUUUGGAAUGCCAGCUGCAAAGGACUGUUAUCUUCAUUCUAAUUUUACCUGGGAAUGGGGCACUACUGGGGGAAAGAAGGGGCCUCCCCUUCUUUGGAAGGCAUAAAAUCACAGUUUGUUUCAAUAAACGAUUUCAGUACUCUCAA